ACACAUGCAGUCGACGGUAACAGGAAGCAGCUUGCUGCUUCGCUGACGAGUGGCGGACGGGUGAGUAAUGUCUGGGAAACUGCCUGAUGGAGGGGGAUAACUACUGGAAACGGUAGCUAAUACCGCAUAACGUCGCAAGACCAAAGAGGGGGACCCUCGGGCCUCUUGCCAUCGGAUGUGCCCAGAUGGGAUUAGCUAGUGGGUGGGGUAACGGCUCACCUAGGCGACGAUCCCUAGCUGGUCUGAGAGGAUGACCAGCCACACUGGAACUGAGACACGGUCCAGACUCCUACGGGAGGCAGCAGUGGGGAAUAUUGCACAAUGGGCGCAAGCCUGAUGCAGCCAUGCCGCGUGUAUGAAGAAGGCCUUCGGGUUGUAAAGUACUUUCAGCGGGGAGGAAGGCGGUGAGGUUAAUAACCUUGUCGAUUGACGUUACCCCCAGAAGAAGCACCGGCUAACUCCGUGCCAGCAGCCGCGGUAAUACGGAGGGUGCAAGCGUUAAUCGGAAUUACUGGGCGUAAAGCGCACGCAGGCGGUCUGUCAAGUCGGAUGUGAAAUCCCCGGGCUCAACCUGGGAACUGCAUUCGAAACUGGCAGGCUAGAGUCUUGUAGAGGGGGGUAGAAUUCCAGGUGUAGCGGUGAAAUGCGUAGAGAUCUGGAGGAAUACCGGUGGCGAAAGCGGCCCCCUGGACAAAGACUGACGCUCAUGUGCGAAAGCGUGGGGGAGCAAACAGGAUUAGAUACCCUGUAGUCCACGCCGUAA
rnacentral:rRNA from 1 species